UAGCCAUAAUGUGGACAUGCAUUUAAAAGUUCCUUAAACCUCUCCCAACAUUGGAAGAAGGUUUCAUCCUUUUUUGUGAAAAAAUCAUUAUGACUCUUAUGAGAGU